UUUCCAGCAGACGGCACCAAUAAGUUAUUCCGGAUAGCCGAAAUACGAAAAAAACAAACUGUUUCCACCCGAAAGUUGCCCCGUCAUGGGCCUCAAAUUGCUGGGUAUUAUUCUUCCAGGGCGUUCCAGGGCGCACGCUCACAGCAGUGAGAGCAACCGCCUAUAUCUAUAGAUUGCCGUGUAUCGAUCCUAUAUCCUAUCCUAGCGCUGGCUAAUAGAUAACAUUGCCAAUGUGGAUGUUUUGGAGAAGACGACUGUGUGCUCCGGGAGACAGCGGGAGGUGUUUUCAUCGUCCUGUCCGUCCCGUUCGUUUUGUGUUUCGCGCUCAAUUUCAUCGUCUACCGGCUGACCAGGACUCACUUGCGUGAAAACGGCAGCCAGCAUCUUCACCACGAGUGUUUCCAACUGACGGCCAUUGAAAAUGAUCAACCCAACAGCAGCAGCACUCACGCCAGACAGUUGGCCAUUCACGUGGAUCGCGAAAUCCUGACCAGGAUCGAAAUGGAGGCCACCCGGACGUUGAUUGUCGGAGUGACGUCGCUCUUCAUCACGGCCUGUCCCUUAUUUCAUUUUCGUUUGUCUCUUCUACCUGUGCAGGAUCGUCAACCAAUCGGAUUGCAGCCACUUCAACUGGCUGGCGCCCUACAUGAAAGAACUGGGACUCGUUCACGCCGUGUACAAUCCUUUCGUUUUCCUCAUGAGGAGCAAGGAGAUGAUGAAGGCCAUGACGAUUCAUGAUUCAUUUCGAGAGCUAUAUCGAAAAUAAUCAACGGCACAGAUGACAGUAUGGAUUCUCCUCUUCUUUCAUUCAUAAUCGAUCGGACCUUAAACUUCCCCACCAUUUACUGUAGGUGACCCGGCGUUUCGGAGUGGCCGGAAUGAAAGCAGCUCUAGAUUUGUUUGGAUAUUACGGCGGACCCAAUCGAUCACCCAUGCUCAGUGUCAGUGCAGAGGCUCGUCAAGUGAUUAAAAUAGAAUUUAUUGAUAAUGAAUUUGUUCCGCAAUUACGGUAGUUUUGUAAAAACAUAUCCCCCCAAAAAUAAUGCAACUUUAUAAUGUAGAAAAUACGAAUGCUAUUUUCUGAUCACAAAGAAAGUUCUUUAUUUUUUAGAUAUAAUAUGUUCUUAAACCCAAAUUAAAGUUGAUUUCUUACUUAUAUGUGACUAUCAGUUAAAUAUGAUUGGUCAUGUGCAAAAUUGUUUGAUCUUUCCCAUAUCCCAUUAUUCAUAAUUUUACGCAAAACUAGAGCUUUUUAGUAUAUAUUAGAAUAAAAGCAUGUUAUGGUUGAAGCUAGGAGAAAUGUAAAUACCAAAAGAUACUAAAAACUAGGCCACCACUAUACAGGAUUUCCUCAUCUAAUCGUGAUUGGGGAUUAAGACUCUUAUUUUCAUUAUGGGAAUCUAUUCGAUUAGUGUUUUUUUGUCUUCUAAAUAACUGGAAUUCAAAAGUAAUUGAACUCUGCUUCGCUGUAUAAGGAUGAAACUAUUUGGCAAAAAAUUCUAAAGAAAUAUGUAAAUGUAAUGAAUAAAAUAUCUAAUACUGGCUAUGUGUUUCAGCAAUGUGCGAUAAUAUAAUCCAAUCAAUAUGGAUAUUAAUGAAACAACUUUUCGGAGUUCUGCGACACAAAAAGUUUAAUUUAAUGGAAUUCAAGAUUUACGGAAUUUUCAAGCCGACGACGUUCAACUUUCACAACAAAAAGAAGCUUCCAAGUUAUAAGAGA